UACGGAGGGGGCUAGCGUUAUUCGGAAUUAUUGGGCGUAAAGGGCGUGUAGGCGGCCUCGUGUGUCUCAUGUGAAAUCCCUCGGCUUAACCGAGGAGUUGCAUGGGAAACUGCGGGGCUUGAGUCCGGGAGAGGAGAGCGGAAUUCCCAGUGUAGCGGUGAAAUGCGUAGAUAUUGGGAGGAACACCAGUGGCGAAGGCGGCUCUCUGGACCGGUACUGACGCUGAGACGCGAAAGCUAGGGGAGCAAACGGG
rnacentral:rRNA from 1 species